GUUAAUAUUUCACUUCAGUGAGACUGUAGGGAACAAAGAACACGAGGCUGGCCUUGAGGGGCCAAAGGUAGGCGGCCCACAGCUCGAUGCGGCUCAUAAAUAAGAACAGCGCUAACGUACUUUGGAUAAGAGCACGGCUCAGCCUCCCGCGGAACAGCUGGGGAAGCUAUUCAUAGGAAAGUGUGCUAUUUGCGGCUGCCUGGCAUUUGAACUGGGCUCACCUAACUGCGCCUGCCUUCCCCGCAAAUGCCCACCCAAUGCGACUUCCAGAAGGAGAUCAUGCUUACUGUCCAGACAUUGGUAGAUGGACUUGACUCGGAUGUCACCACUGCCGGAGCAGUCGUCCCGGGAGCUCACCAGGGCAGCCCGGCCCCGCCCCACCCACCACCCUCCCAGGGACCUUUGUCUGGGCCACAGGCUGUGCUCCCUUGGAGAAAGAGGUCCUACAGGGCAAGCCGUCCUGCCUGCUGACUUUCACCCGCGGGGACCCCAGCGGCCAGGCAGCAUGAUACGACGGGAACACCAUCAGGCACCAGAGCUGGCGCGGUCUCAGCCCCUCCCGGCCCACCCUGGGCGCCGACACCGAUGCGGGCACAUCACGGGAACAGGCAGCUGGGGCUCCUUUAAGAAGGAAAGUAAACUCCAAGAACCAUUUUUUAAAAAUAGGAUGUUGCUUCCAACUCUCAGAAGGGAGCUUUUAUAUUUCCACCACCCGGUACAGCGCAAGCUCCGCUGUGCUGGGAUUCAGCUGUCUCCUUGACAGCUGAGCCUAGGAUAGAUUAGCGCCCAGCCCCUGCGCCUAGCACAGGGCCUGGUGUCGCAGGUACUCCUAAGUGUUGCUGCAGGUGCCGGUGUUACUGGAGGGAAAAAUCAAGGCCAAGAAGCUGCUAAGGGAUAGCUAAAUCUGGCACACACGAUCUCAUUUCAUUUCAUUUAAAAAUUCUGCUAUCUCAGCUCUUUGACCACAGGUGUGAGCCAGGGCAUGAGAGAGAGGAGCAAUGAAUAAAGCCCACCUUUCUUCCUCCUCCUCCUCCUCCCUUCACACCCCUGGUUUCCUCCCAGGCUCUGAGAGAGAACUCGGUGUUCUGCGAGGGGUGGGGCUUCUUACUGAGGAGCAAGCAACAGGGUAGGGGAAUGGGUGGGGUGGGUGGUGGCAGUAAGGUCACCCAAAGGAACCUUUCAGCCACCUAGAAAUGAAAAAGCAAGAUUAAAGUCACCCCCCAAAACAGGACAGAGGGUCUUGGAGCCUUUCCCUCCAUCUCGCAAUCACCACCCCACCCCCCUAUACACACACGUUAGCUUUUCAACCUCUGACACUUUGCUAUGGGCAACCUGAAAAGUUUGCAUUUCUAGAUAAAUAGAUGGAAGAAAAGUAGCCAGGACCCUGGUUCCUGUAACUGCCCUGAGCUUUUCCCAACAGCGCGACUCUUCUUCCUCUGAGAAGGGUGACAGGCUCUGGCCGGAGCUAAAUCUGGAAAGCAAGCAGUCGUAGACACGGGCUCUUUGCCAAGAACCAGUGCUAUUAAACCUAAGGACUUGGUCCCUCCACCCCCAAGGAUCCUGAAGGUGGCUGCUCACAGGUGGCCGAGGUGCAUCGCUGUCCAUGGCAAUCACAGCACGGCUUGGUGACCGGCACCAGCUCCUCCUUUGCGUGCCUUCUGGGCGUCCCCCGUGGAGCGGCAGAGCCUGGCCUCUGUGGAAAAGUGAGAUCUUCCUCAAGCCCUGGAGAUGGGGUAGAGGUUCUUCUUUGACACCCAUAAAAGCUCUCACCUCCCCUCAAAACUUUGGAGAUUUUCAUUCUUGUCUUAAUAGCCAGAGUUGCCACGCAUUCUGUCCAGGAUUUCAUCUACUCGGCAAACUCCAUAUCGCAAACUCAGUAUUUCUUCAAUAAACUCAGUAUUCAUUUACCAUUAUCUGGUGAGCAAAAGUAGUCCAAACUCUUGGACUUUGUUCUUUAAGGUGAAAGAUUGUGCCUCUUGGUGAAAAUACCCAGAUUCUAAGAGUGAGACCCUGGGGCAAAUGCAGGCUCCAGCUAAUCCAAGUGUUGGCUGCGAGACAGGAGUCAGCAGGAUUUCACCUGGGUGGUCAAUUUUUAUCUAAAAUAGAGCUAUGCCUGCAUUAAUUUGUCACCAAUGGAAUGAAAUUCUAGCCUGCUGAGUAUGAUAGAGUUUGAUGUGAGGAGUGGUCAGUUAUACAGAAAAUUUGAAACAAAAGCCCACGAGAAGGCUGCAUUUCCCAGCACCCAUUGACUCCUUCCUAACAGGGUGACAGAGAGCUGGCACUGCCACAUGGAAUGUGCUCAAAUCAAAGCCUCAGUUUCAGCCUCUCACAGAAGCUUCUUGGGCCACCCUAUCUAGAACAGACCCUGCCUGCUAUUCUUAACCAGGCAGAGGGGACAGGACGGCCUGAGCAAAGACCCAGGGGUGGGAGAAGGCAUGGCAUUUGCAGGGACUGGCAGAGGGCCAGGGUGACGGCCACAGUGAGUGCUGGGGAAAGCGGCGCGGGAUAAGGUCGAGAGUCGGCAAGGACCUGUCUGUGCAGAACGGUGGCGAGGAGCCUGCCCUUUCUCCCCAUGCCCAGGGCAGGGAAGAAGGAUUUGCAGAUUUCUUACAUGUGCCUUGGCUUAAGCAAAGCUUUCUGCCCUCGUUCCAGCCGCAGCACAGGGUGGCGUUUGCCGUGCCUGACUCCCCUGUGCGAGGCGCUGGGGGUAGAAGCACCGUCUGGAGGGGUCAAUGGUGACGCGAGUGGAUAAGCCACAUCACAAUGGGGCUUGAGCUACAGGGAGAGAGGAGUGUGCACGUCCCUGCUUGGACGAGGGGGCAGGUUGUGAGGGCUCCGGGGCACUUUGGGCAGAUUCUUCCGGCAACUUUAGUCCCGCUGCUACUGUGUGUCUAGCUGAAGAGCCUCCUGGUUGGCCUCAUCACCCCCUGCCUGUCUUCUCCACCAGCCCCCGGAACACGGAGUUCUGUGUGCUGGACUCUGGGAGGCCAAG